rnacentral:rRNA from 1 species
CCCCGCUGACGAGCGGCGGACGGGUGAGUAAUGCAUAGGAAUCUGCCCGAUAGUGGGGGAUAACCUGGGGAAACCCAGGCUAAUACCGCAUACGUCCUACGGGAGAAAGGGGGCUCCGGCUCCCGCUAUCGGAUGAGCCUAUGUCGGAUUAGCUGGUUGGUGAGGUAAAGGCUCACCAAGGCGACGAUCCGUAGCUGGUCUGAGAGGAUGAUCAGCCACAUCGGGACUGAGACACGGCCCGAACUCCUACGGGAGGCAGCAGUGGGGAAUAUUGGACAAUGGGGGCAACCCUGAUCCAGCCAUGCCGCGUGUGUGAAGAAGGCCCUCGGGUUGUAAAGCACUUUCAGUGAGGAAGAACGCCUGGUGGUUAAUACCCAUCAGGAAAGACAUCACUCACAGAAGAAGCACCGGCUAACUCCGUGCCAGCAGCCGCGGUAAUACGGAGGGUGCGAGCGUUAAUCGGAAUUACUGGGCGUAAAGCGCGCGUAGGUGGCUUGAUAAGCCGGUUGUGAAAGCCCCGGGCUCAACCUGGGAACGGCAUCCGGAACUGUCAAGCUAGAGUGCAGGAGAGGAAGGUAGAAUUCCCGGUGUAGCGGUGAAAUGCGUAGAGAUCGGGAGGAAUACCAGUGGCGAAGGCGGCCUUCUGGACUGACACUGACACUGAGGUGCGAAAGCGUGGGUAGCAAACAGGAUUAGAUACCCUGGUAGUCCACGCCGUAAACGAUGUCGACCAGCCGUUGGGUGCCUAGCGCACUUUGUGGCGAAGUUAACGCGAUAAGUCGACCGCCUGGGGAGUACGGCCGCAAGGUUAAAACUCAAAUGAAUUGACGGGGGCCCGCACAAGCGGUGGAGCAUGUGGUUUAAUUCGAUGCAACGCGAAGAACCUUACCUACUCUUGACAUCCUGCGAAUUUG